GGGCCCGUAGCUCAAUGGGCAGAGCUGCCGGCUCAUAACCGGUUGGUUGUGCGUUCGAGUCGCGCCGGGCCCACCA
rnacentral:tRNA from 1 species